UACGUAGGGUGCAAGCGUUAAUCGGAAUUACUGGGCGUAAAGCGUGCGCAGGCGGUUGUGCAAGACAGAUGUGAAAUCCCCGGGCUUAACCUGGGAAUUGCAUUUGUGACUGCACGGCUAGAGUGUGUCAGAGGGGGGUAGAAUUCCACGUGUAGCAGUGAAAUGCGUAGAUAUGUGGAGGAAUACCGAUGGCGAAGGCAGCCCCCCUGGGAUAACACUGACGCUCAUGGCACGGAAAAGCCGUGGGGGAGCAAACAGG
rnacentral:rRNA from 1 species